UAAAGCAUAAUAGUGAUGAGUUGGAACGUUUGCCUACGUUUGCCGCUAGGGGUGCUGUUCCAACUGCACGUAAAUUGAGUUA
rnacentral:pre_miRNA from 1 species